rnacentral:rRNA from 1 species
UGAAUACGAGAUGCUACGGCGUCGAAGCAGUCUAUGUCAUACUCCAAGAAAAGCUUGCACUGUCAUAAACAAAUAAUGCCUGUACCAUAACCGACACAGGUGGGUAGGUAGAGUAUACUAAGGGGCGCGAGAUAACUCUCUCUAAGGAACUCGGCAAAAUGACUCCGUAACUUCGGGAGAAGGAGUGCCUUAUUUAUAAGGUUGCAAUAACAAGACCCAAGCAACUGUUUAUCAAAAACACAGGUCUCCGCUAAGUCGUAAGACGAUGUAUGGGGGCUGACGCCUGCCCAGUGCCAGAAGGUUAAAGAAGUUGGUUAGCAUUAGCGAAGCUGAUGACUGAAGCCCUGGUGAACGGCGGCCGUAACUAUAACGGUCCUAAGGUAGCGAAAUUCCUUGUCGGGUAAGUUCCGACCCGCACGAAAGGCGUAAUGAUUUGGGUACUGUCUCAGAGAGGGACUCGGUGAAAUAGACUUGUCUGUGAAGAUGCGGACUACCUGCACCUGGACAGAAAGACCCUAUGAAGCUUUACUGUAACCUGAAAUUGAAAUUGGACUUUAUUUGCGCAGUAUAGGUGGGAGGCUUUGAAGAUAUUCUUGCGGGAAUGUUGGAGCCAUCAGUGAGAUACCACUCUUGUAAUGUUAGAUUUCUAACUUUGUAUCAUUAUCUGGUCAAAGAACAGUUUCAGGCGGGCAGUUUGACUGGGGCGGUCGCCUCCUAAACGGUAACGGAGGCGCACAAAGGUUUCCUCUGAACGGGUAGAAAUCGUAUCUAGAGUGUAAAGGCAUAAGGAAGCUUGACUGUGAGACCUACAAGUCGAGCAGGGACGAAAGUCGGUCUUAGUGAUCUGACGGUGCUGAGUGGAAAGGCCGUCACUCAACGGAUAAAAGUUACUCUAAGGAUAACAGGCUGAUCUCCCCCAAGAGUUCACAUCGACGGGGAGGUUUGGCACCUCGAUGUCGGCUCAUCGCAUCCUGGGGCGGUAGUACGUCCCAAGGGUUGGGCUGUUCGCCCAUGAAAGCGGUACGCGAGCUGGGUUCAGAACGUCGUGAGACAGUUCGGUCCAUAUCCGGUGUAGGCGUUAGAAUAUUGAGAGGAGCCUUCUCUAGUACGAGAGGACCGAGAAGGACACACCUCUGGUGUACCAGUUAUCGUGCCAACGGUAAACGCUGGGUAGCUAUGUGUGGAGCGGAUAACCGCUGAAAGCAUCUAAGUGGGAAGCCCACCUCAAGAUAAGUA